rnacentral:rRNA from 1 species
GUAGGUGGCAAGCGUUGUCCGGAAUUAUUGGGCGUAAAGCGCGCGCAGGCGGGUUCUUUAAGUCUGAUGUGAAAGCCCACGGGCUCAACCGUGGAGGGUCAUUGGAAACUGGAGAACUUGAGUACAGAAGAGGAAAGCGGAAUUCCACGUGUAGCGGUGAAACGCGUAGAGAUUUGGAGGAACACCAGUGGCGAAGGCGGCUUUCUGGUCUGUAACUGACGCUGAGGCGCGAAAGCGUGGGGAGCAAACAGGAUUAGAUACCCUGGUAGUCCACGCCGUAAACGAUGAGUGCUAAGUGUUAGGGGGUUUCCGCCCCUUAGUGCUGCAGCUAACGCAUUAAGCACUCCGCCUGGGGAGUACGGCCGCAAAGGCUG